AUGAACGCUGGCGGCGUGCUUAACACCUGCAAGUCGAACGGGAAAUAUUUCAUUGAGACUUCGGUGGAUUUGAUUUAUUUCUAGUGGCGGACGGGUGAGUAACGCGUGGGUAACCUGCCUUAUACAGGGGGAUAACAGUCAGAAAUGGCUGCUAAUACCGCAUAAGCGCACAGAGCUGCAUGGCUCAGUGUGAAAAACUCCGGUGGUAUAAGAUGGACCCGCGUUGGAUUAGCUAGUUGGUGGGGUAACGGCCCACCAAGGCGACGAUCCAUAGCCGGCCUGAGAGGGUGAACGGCCACAUUGGGACUGAGACACGGCCCAGACUCCUACGGGAGGCAGCAGUGGGGAAUAUUGCACAAUGGGGGAAACCCUGAUGCAGCGACGCCGCGUGAAGGAAGAAGUAUCUCGGUAUGUAAACUUCUAUCAGCAGGGAAGAUAGUGACGGUACCUGACUAAGAAGCCCCGGCUAACUACGUG
rnacentral:rRNA from 1 species